rnacentral:misc_RNA from 1 species
UCGCUACGCUCUGAGGGCUUGCUGAGCUUGCGAGGCCCUUGCUAUCGGAUGCUUUGACGCUGUCUCCGCCUCAUCCGCCUCACCUGCUCCCGCCUACUGCCGUCGCUCGACCUCGAAGUCCGGCACCGUCCUGGCAGUUGAGCGACAAGAUGGCCCGCUCUAGGAACGGCUCCCGCGCGAGACAGCCGGAUUGGCGCAGUCGCUGCAACCACAAACGACA